CCUACGGGAGGCAGCAGUGAGGAAUAUUGGUCAAUGGACGAGAGUCUGAACCAGCCAAGUAGCGUGAAGGAUGACUGCCCUCUGGGUUGUAAACUUCUUUUAUAUGGGAAUAAAAUGUUCCACGUGUGGGCUUUUGUAUGUACCCUAUGAGUAAGGAUCGGCGAACUCCGUUCCAGCAGCCGCGGUAAUACGGAGGGUCCGAGCGUUCUCCGGAUUUAAUGGGUUGAAAGGGCGCGCAGGCGGAUUGUUAAGUCAGUUGUGAAAGUUUGCGGCUCAACCUUAAAAUUGCAGUUGAAACUGGCAGGCUAGAGUACAGUAGAGGUGGGCAGAAUUCGUGGUGUAGCGGUGAAAUGCGUAGAGAUCACGAAGAACUCCGAUUGCGAAGGCAGCUCACUGGACUGCAACUGACACUGAGGCUCGAAAGUGUGGGGAUCAAACAGGAUUAGAUACCCUGGUAGUC
rnacentral:rRNA from 1 species